UUUUUUUUUUUUUUUUUUUAAUAUGAAUAAUUUUCCAAGGUGUCCUAAUAGUGAAAAUCCUGGAGGUAUCUCGCCACAGGGUGCUGUUAAAUGUGCCUACCCCACAUCUGUUUUCCAGAGAGCAAUUUGCCUUUCAGGGAAAGAUUUGUGGAUAUGGGUGUUCAGGGGGAAUGGAGACUCUUUCUUAAUGUCAGCCUCAAUUCAGACUUAACAGGGUUGAACACGGAUAAAUUCAGAGUAUUAAGAGAGCAAAAGCUCUCUUCAGAAAAAUUGAAAGUACUGUAGGGUCCAGCAUGUCACUGAGUGGACUAAAGGAGGAAGCUCUGGUUUUAAAAUCAAAAAACAUUAUGAGAAAUAGUGCAGGAAUCAAAUUUAAUGUCUGAAUACCACCGAUUUCAGAGUUAUAAGCAGUCAGAACAUUGUGCAAAUUCGUUUUCAAAAUCCUAAUGCCAUGUAACAGACCAGAAAGUUCACCUAUGUUCUCAAAGCAGGAGUACUCUGAGGGUUUUGGUGUAUGGCUUUCUGGAAUGCCAGUUAGUUGAAGGAUUAUUAUGAUUCUCUACAUAAAGGAAAACACUAAUUUUUGGGAAAGUGCAGAACUCCAAUGUUUUUUGUCAGAAAGGAGAAAAGCAACAUCUUGAACAACACUGCAACACUAUUCCAUGCUGCUGACUGCAGGUGGGUCAGUGGAACUAUGCUGGUUCAGAUUUCAGUACAGCUGUACUCAUCAAUUUUAGCGUUCUGAUAUUUUGUCACAAACACAAGAGAGGGUUAGUGGACACAACAAAAUACAGCAUGCAUUGCAAUGUUGUCACGUGAUUUCUGAUAUACCUGAAGGCUGUUUUAAUUUCACUUCUUGGCCAUAAUUAUGAGCAUGAGCAUCCUGACAGGUCCAUCAAACCAUCCAUCACUUCUAGUGUUGGAUUUCUGAGCAAUUAUCACACACACAUGUGCUGAAAAAAAAUUUACUACCACUUUUGUGUGACACUAAAUCCAGCAAGACUGUGACAUACAUCAAAUUUGCACUGUGUUGCAACCAAUUCACAGGAGCAUCCAGCAACUGGAGAUGGGGAAAAAUAAAUUAAAAAUCAGAAUUGAUUCAGUGUUACUGAAGGAAGACAACCAAAUUGGUUGUCCAAGCUUCUGCUUUGCAUUAGAUCAGACCACUCACCUCAGGUUAAUGUUGCACUCGUCCUGCUCCUCUGAAUUGCAGAGCUGUAGCAACAGAGCAGCCUUGGAAUUUUUCUUCAGUCGGCUGGUGUGACACAGACACGGCUCUUUUCAGCGAGGGGGACGCACGGUACAGGUGAACAGUGACACCUAAAGGCACAAAUGUGUUCAAGGCUCCAGCAAGGGCAAACUUCAGCGAGCUCUUCAACCUGUAAAUCAUCAUCAGCUUGUUGGCUUUCUUCUCCAGCCAGACGGACCCUGGACAAUUCAUCGUGUACUAAAUGCUUUGGAGCAUUUCAUAGAUGCUCCAGAUUUAGGGGCAACGCAUAAUUCUACUUUUCCAGUAAGUUUUUGUUAUUUUUUCUUCACUUUUCCAUAGUUUUUAUGUAUGGUUGAGUGUAAAGGGCUCCUUGUACCACAGAGGAUAACAAGAUGGUCAAGUGAGCAGCACUGAGGGGUAGGAGACAAUGAUGCUUAAACCAGGUGGAGAUGUGGGUAGAUUAGCCACCCUCAGUCUCUUCAAAACUGUUUGGAGACCUGACAGUAAGAAGUCAAAAAGAAUUCAGAGAAUUACCUUUUAUACAUUUUUAACCCUCUGGUCUGUGACCAACUAGAAAUUACAUACUGAAAACUUCUUCCAACAGCACAUGCAAAGCUAAAUCCAAAUAGACAACAUAUAUAAGCACAUUCCUCUUCCCUUUAGAUAGCUCAGCCAUCAGACAGCAGGACAGUUGGACAACGCUGCUAUUAAGGCCUCUUUAGGUACUGGAAGGGGCUCUAAGGUCUCCCCAGAGCCUUCUCCUCCAGGCAGAACAACCCCAGCCUGUCUCCACAGGAGGAGUGCUCCAGCCCUCUGAUCACCUCCAUGGCCUGCCCCGGACUCGCUCCAACAGGUUCUGUGCUGAGCACUCCCAAGCUGGAUGCAGCAUUCCAGGUGGGGUCUCACCAGAACCACCAAACUAUAGAGAUUAAACUUAUAUUAAUAUUAAUUAAUAAUAAUUAUUCAUUACCUCGUUAACAACUUCUUUAGCAGUGGAAACAGCCAAUGACUACUAGUAAUAGGCUAAACUUUCACUGAAAUCUGUACAAUUGAACCUGCUGCUCCCACAUAGAGCAAACACUGUGACGCUUUAAAAACCACACCUCUUGCCAAGUGAUACAGCUUUUCAUCUUCUUAUGCUGUAGUGCAUUUAUUUAUGAUGGCUACUCCAUUAGCUCAGGAAAUGAGUUCUCUUAAAGAUAAUAGCAUUCAGUAAUUAUGACAUCUCUCAUUUCACCAUGUCAGAGAAGCUAUUUGAAAUGAUGAUCACAUGCAAAUUCCUCCUACAUUGUAAGAAGUGUAUUACAAGUAAAUAAAAAGAAUAUUGCAGCAUCAACAUUGUAAUUUUGCUGUGAGGAGGUAAUGAUUUGCACUAACUAGUGAAGUCCAUGCAAGAAAUUCAUAUUGUCAUUGAUUUGAUGUUUGAGGUGGUCUAGAGUUAAUAUGCAGGGAACAGGUACAUAACACAGUAAAUGCACACAAGAGAACUCUUUUUUUCUUCAUAGAAGAGCAUAAAGAGGAAGAGCACUCAGAGUGAUAGCAAGAUAGCCACUAACUGAAAAAGUGCAAUUCAUUUGAGAAGCCAAAUGAAAAAUAUUUCCUUACCAAUUAUUUUUGUAGAAUAGAAUCCAGCAAGGCCUGUCUCAGGCAGUGAGUUUCUGUCAGGUGUUUCUGUAAGCAGGAAUUAGCUCUUAUCUGUGCUACGUGUGAGUUAAUUGUAUCACAGUGCUUACUAUGUUCAAAGACAAGCUAGAAAAGUAAAUUACAUGGCAUGUAGGCAGCAGCUCAUUACAAUUAGUGUGGUGUUUGGAGAAAAUAUCCCUGGAAACAUUUUGGCACAACAGCUUUUUUUUUUUCUUCCUUACAACACAACACUGAAAUAAGGGUGUAGACUUGCCCCCAGGCCACAGCAGUGCAGAGGAUAUUUUAUGUUCUCUUCCCUCCUCUCUUUUUAACUGCUGAGGAGCACAAUUGUCUCAGUAGUAUUAACAAAAUCAUCUACCACAGUGGCAUUUUUUUGCAAUAAUCAACCCAAAUGAAGUGGUACACUAUUGGACUGAUGAGUAGCUGGUUGAAACAGCUCUGACACCACAGGCAAUUAGGUUGUUGAUGCCGUGUUCAGCAUUUUAGACUGAUGAAUAAAUAUCUGAGAACCUGACAGCCAGUUUCAGUCAUCUCUCUUUUAGGAAAUACCAAGUUUAAUGAGCAUAAUGGAACAAAACAACACUUGCUAAUGGGAAACAGUCUCCCUGUAGGCAAGAGAUUGUUAAUAAUGCUAAAUCAGAACUUCACCUUCAGCCCAGGUCAAAAGUUGGUUAAACGCCAGAAGUGGUUUUGGAGCUUUAGGCUUUUGUGACAUGUAUAAGAUUACCCCUAAAACACCUACACACAGGAAUGCACAUCAGGGUAAGGAAAAAGGGAGAGCUGGGAAUGCCCAACACAUUGCCCCACUGUGUGAAUACAGGUGUGGUAGUUUUGCACUGCAGAGAGGCAGUGCAUUCCCCAUCAUUCCUCUGCAUGGCAGGAGGAGUUCUUUGAUUCUCUGUGGUGCUCUGGUUUGGUGGUUGUGGCCUUUGAUGCCAAAUAAUUUGACUUGUAGGUUUUGCUUCAGUUGGCACAUAAUAUUUUCCCUGAGGUUCAGUAGUGGGAACUGGAAUGUUUACUGUCACACAGGCUAAGAACUAGUCCAUGCUUUGCCUGUGGGAGGUCUCUUCUGACAAGCUCACAUGGUUCUGACCUACCCAUUAAAAGAGUUUCAAAAUUAAAAGACUAAGGCAGGCAGCUCUUAAGGCUGGGAAAGAAAAUUACUACUCUUCAACUGAGCAGGACUUAAAAUAGCAAUUAAAAGGAUUAAUGUGACAGUGAAAAAGUAUGGGAGGUGUAUCCUAUAAAGUACCCUCUAAAGUGUAACUCUUUCCCUCCAUGGUCUUGACACACUAAAAUCUUGUCCUGCCCUUUCAGGACAAAGUGUUGCAGGAGCAAUGUGAGAUGCAUUAGUCUCCUCCUCAUCUCAGCCAUGGAUGCCAGAGCAGAAUAGAGAAAGGGAAAUUCAGGUACUUCCUGCAGUAAUUUCUGCACCUCAGACCUCAUGUGUACAUUCUCCUUCACUAACACCACUCACACAGGAUCCCAUCUUCAAACAAAAACUCCUCCUUCACUGUCUAAGAGGAGAUUUGGCUGAACAAGGUCAGAAUCAAGGUCAAGCCUUAUACUGAGAUGAAGGCUGAGAAACUCCUUAUCUGGUGAGACUUAAGUGUAAUUAUUUUCUAUAAUGUGACUAAAUAAAUAGCAGCUCAGAUAGUUUUGGCUCAUUUUUCUUUUUAACUGAUAGUGACUGAUUUUUUUCUGUUGUGAGAAGGAGUUAAAUGCAGUUUCCCUACAGUAGUGUGGUGCAAGAGUCUGACAGCUCCAUCUUUUUCUCUGCUCCCUGCAAUCCAACCACCACCAAAUUUUCAGAAAAGUAUAAUAAUUUCAGAAAAUUACUUACAUGUGUCUUCCAUCCUGAACUAAUUAUACUUUUUUUAGAAGAAAGAACCAAAAAGGGGCUUGAGAUUUAAAAGUUUUUCUGGAUAAAUAACUCUGUAUGUGACUUAAAA
rnacentral:lncRNA from 1 species